rnacentral:rRNA from 1 species
CAGCACCUCAAGUGGUCAGGAUGAUUAUUGGGCCUAAAGCAUCCGUAGCCGGCGCUGUAAGUUUUCGGUUAAAUCUGUACGCUCAACGUACAGGCUGCCGGGAAUACUGCAGAGCUAGGGAGUGGGAGAGGUAGACGGUACUCGGUAGGAAGGGGUAAAAUCCUUUGAUCUAUUGAUGACCACCUGUGGCGAAGGCGGUCUACCAGAACACGUCCGACGGUGAGGGAUGAAAGCUGGGGGAGCAAACCGGAUUAGAGACCCGCGUAGUCC